GCUCCCGUAGUUCAAUGGAUAGAGCAACGGUUUCCGGUACCGUUAAUCGGGGUUCGAGUCCCCGCGGGAGUG
rnacentral:tRNA from 3 species